ACGCGUGUAGCAAUACACGAGUGGCGCACGGGUGAGUAACGCGUGGAUAUCUGCCUUUUGGUUCGGAAUAACCCCGGGAAACUGGGGCUAAUACCGGAUGGUUCCUUCGGGAUAAAGAUUUAUCGCCAAAAGAUGAGUCCGCGUACGAUUAGCUAGUUGGUGAGGUAAUGGCUCACCAAGGCGACGAUCGUUAGCUGGUCUGAGAGGACGAUCAGCCACACUGGGACUGAGACACGGCCCAGACUCCUACGGGAGGCAGCAGUGGGGAAUAUUGGACAAUGGGGGCAACCCUGAUCCAGCCAUGCCGCGUGAGUGAUGAAGGCCUUCGGGUUGUAAAGCUCUUUUGGCGGGGACGAUGAUGACGGUACCCGCAGGAUAAGCCCCGGCUAACUUCGUGCCAGCAGCCGCGGUAAGACGAAGGGGGCUAGCGUUGUUCGGAAUUACUGGGCGUAAAGCGAGUGUAGGUGGUUGUCCAAGUUGGAUGUGAAAGCCUUGAGCUCAACUCAAGAAAUGCAUUCAGGACUGGGCAGCUAGAGGACCGGAGAGGAUAGUGGAAUUCCCAGUGUAGUGGUGAAAUACGUAGAGAUUGGGAAGAACACCAGUGGCGAAGGCGGCUAUCUGGACGGUUUCU
rnacentral:rRNA from 1 species